UAGAAAGUCGGUACGACCGGACCAACCCGUCGGUCGAACGGUUCGAGGCGCCUAAGAGUGGACUGUGACUGGGGUG
rnacentral:rRNA from 1 species